rnacentral:misc_RNA from 1 species
AAACCGAAAACUGCUCUCCCCUACGUCCAACCAUCAUUUCCUACAGAUUCCUAAGAAAGUAGCAGCCAGGUAAAGAAAUUAACGUAUAAGGUUUCAAUUACGAGUUUGCUUUGAGUAAAAUGCCAGCACAAGCAGCAAGGACUCAUUGUAGAACAGCUUCCCCCCAUUCAACACAUCUUCUAAAGUCACUGGUUAGAUCUUCAUUGAAGGCAAGAGAUAAGAACGAAAUUUAAUCUUUCUUCUGUCAAUAUCUAUUCAUCAACAAAUUUAUAUUUCAAUUAGGUUACCAGAAUGAAUUUUAUCAGCUUUGUAAUGGGUUAACAGCUAACAGCAAAUAACUGUUCCAGUUUUAUACCAUAUACAAAAUUGGGAAUAUAGUGAACUGUUUAACUAACCAUCUAUAAUUCACAAAUGACAUAAGUUACAAGAAUUUAAUGCGCUCCAUUAAAUUUAUUACGAAAUUAAGAAAAAAAUGGAGUGAAUAAAGGAAAGAAAAUCCACAAGUAGAAUAGUGCCAAAAGCACAGUAC